GACGAACGCUGGCGGCGCGCCUAACACAUGCCAGUCGAACGGAGCUGAGAGAAUCUUGCUUUUCUUAGCUUAGUGGCGGACGGGUGAUUAACGCGUGAGUACCCUGCCCUGGAGUGGGGGACACCAGUUGGAAACGACUGCUAAUACCGCAUAAGCCCACGAUCCGGCAUCGGCUUGGGGGAAAAGGAUUUAUUCGCUUCAGGAUGGACUCUCGUCCAAUUAGCUGGUUGGUGAGGUAACGGCCCACCAUGGCGACGAUUGGUAGCCGGAAUGGGAGGCUGACCGGCGACAUUGGGAGUGAGACACGGCCCAGAAUCCUAGGGGAGGGAGGAGUGGGGGAUAUUGCACAAUGGGGGAAACCCUGAUGCAGCGACGCCGCGUGGAGGAAGAAGGUUGUCGGAUUGCAAACUCCUGUCGUAAGGGACGAUAAUGACGGUACCUAAAAAGAAAGCACCGGCUAACUACGUG
rnacentral:rRNA from 1 species